rnacentral:lncRNA from 1 species
AAUCUUUUCUCUCUUUUGAUUCUCUUCUCAAGAAAAUCAAAGAGAUCUUUAGAAAGAUCAAGAAAUCAGAUCUAAUCUGAUUUUUUUUCUUUCCUUAAGAGAAAGAAGAAGAUCUAGAGAAAAAAUAAGAGGUCAAAUCUUUUUUAUUUCUUUUCUUUCAUUAAACUCUUAGAUUGAAUAUGGAGAAGAAGGAGAUAAUAGAUGAAAUCUGAUUUCUUUAUCCAACUAUUGGAC